GCCACCUCCGCUGCCAUCCCAGCCGCUCUGGUCGCACCAUGUCUUCGCCUCCCGAGGAGAAGCAAGAGACGAAAGCUGGACACCCACCCUCUGUGAAAGCUGGUGGAAUGCGAAUCGUGCAGAAACACCCGCAUUCUGGAGACACCAAAGAAGAGAAAGACAAGGAUGAGGAGGAGUGGGAGACCGAGCCCAGCCCGCCUAAACCCACCAUGUACAUCUCCUGUGUCAUCGCCCGGAGCGACACGGACUUCCACCCGGCGGCCGCCCAGGUGGCUCACCAGAAGCCCCACGCCUCUAUGGACAAGUACCUGUCCCAUAGAACCCAGCACAUCCAGCAGCCUCGCAAGUGACCACGAGGACCCAGCGCCCUCCCCUGCCGUGCCUGGUUCCCGACA